rnacentral:rRNA from 1 species
CCUACGGGGGGCUGCAGUGAGGAAUAUUGGUCAAUGGACGAGAGUCUGAACCAGCCAAGUAGCGUGAAGGAUGACUGCCCUAUGGGUUGUAAACUUCUUUUAUAUGGGAAUAAAACGUUCCACGUGUGGGAUUUUGUAUGUACCAUAUGAAUAAGGAUCGGCUAACUCCGUGCCAGCAGCCGCGGUAAUACGGAGGAUCCGAGCGUUAUCCGGAUUUAUUGGGUUUAAAGGGAGCGUAGGUGGAUUGUUAAGUCAGUUGUGAAAGUUUGCGGCUCAACCGUAAAAUUGCAGUUGAUACUGGCAGUCUUGAGUACAGUAGAGGUGGGCGGAAUUCGUGGUGUAGCGGUGAAAUGCUUAGAUAUCACGAAGAACUCCGAUUGCGAAGGCAGUUCACUGGACUGCAACUGACACUGAGGCUCGAAAGUGUGGGUAUCAAACAGGAUUAGAUACCCGGGUAGUC